AUUGAACGCUAGCGGGAUGCCUUACACAUGCAAGUCGAACGGAGUGGCGAACGGGUGAGUAAUGUAUCGGAACGUGCCCAGUAGCGGGGGAUAACUACGCGAAAGCGUAGCUAAUACCGCAUACUAUUGGAGCGGCCGAUAUCGGAUUAGCUGGUGGGUGGGGUAACGGCUCACCCAGGCGACGAUCCGUAGCUGGUUUGCGAGGACGACCAGCCACACGGGGACUGAGAAAAGGCCCAGAUUCCUACGGAAGGCAGAAGUGGGGAAUUUUGGAAAAUGGGGGAAACCCUGAUCAAGCCAGCCCGCGUGUGGGAUGAAGGCCUGCGGGUUGUAAAGUACUUUUGGCAGGAAAGCGGUACCUGCAGAAGAAGCACCGGCUAACUACGUGCCAGCAGCCGCGGUAAUAC
rnacentral:rRNA from 1 species